GCAUAAUGGAAGAUACACACUCGCUAGCUAAAACAAUGCUUGAUACGCGAUAUGAGUGGAGGCGAUAAACAGUUAAUGGCGGGUGAGUUCGAAAAUUUGCACUGCAACUGUGUGCGUAUACACAGCGAUUGCAACACACAUGAAGAGAAACCAAAACUAGAAGAGAGAAUAAAAUGCAUAUAAAUCAACAUAGUAAGUAAGCAACUAAGUGUAAAAUUACAUGGAGUUUUCCAAAUGGCCCAUCAAAUAUAAGACAUUAGGCAGUAA